UGGGGAAUUUUGCGCAAUGGGCGAAAGCCUGACGCAGCAACGCCGCGUGUGUGAUGAAGGUCUUCGGAUUGUAAAGCACUUUCGACCGGGACGAAAACCCGUUGGCUAAUAUCCAGCGGCUUGACUGUACCGGGAGAAGAAGCACCGGCUAACUCUGUGCCAGCAGCCGCGGUAAUACAGAGGGUGCAAGCGUUGUUCGGAAUUAUUGGGCGUAAAGCGCAUGUAGGCGGCUUUGCAAGUCGGGUGUGAAAGCCCUCAGCUCAACUGAGGAAGUGCGCCCGAAACUGCAGAGCUUGAGUACCGGAGAGGAUGGUGGAAUUCCCGAAGUAGAGGUGAAAUUCGUAGAUAUCGGGAGGAACACCGGUGGCGAAGGCGACCAUCUGGACGGAUACUGACGCUGAGACGCGAAAGCGUGGGUAGCAAACAGGAUUAGAUACCCUGGUAGUCCACGCCGUAAACGAUGAGAACUAGGUGUCGUGGGUGUUGACCCCUACGGUGCCGUAGCCAACGCA
rnacentral:rRNA from 1 species